CGAUAUACAGAAUCCUCGUAGUGAACCCCACUUGUAUAUGGGGGGUGCAUGCAUCUACAACAUCUCUAUAAAAAAAAGGAACGCUAUUACCGUUCCCACAACUCCAAAACAAGUCUCUCCUGACCACUACUAAUAAGAGAGAAUGCACCCUGCCACACUGCAAAAAUUGUUCAGGAAUGGUUUAAGGAACAUGGCAAAGAGUUCAAGGUGUUGCCUUCGCCUUCAAAUACCCCAGAU